UGGUUGAUUGAUGUGUAACUCUUUAGA
rnacentral:piRNA from 1 species